GACGAACGCUGGCGGCGUGCUUAACACAUGCAAGUCGAACGGAAAGGCCCUGCUUUUGUGGGGUGCUCGAGUGGCGAACGGGUGAGUAACACGUGAGUAACCUGCCCUUGACUUUGGGAUAACUUCAGGAAACUGGGGCUAAUAACGGAUAGGAGCUCCUGCUGCAUGGUGGGGGUUGGAAAGUUUCGGCGGUUGGGGAUGGACUCGCGGCUUAUCAGCUUGUUGGUGGGGUAGUGGCUUAACAAGGCUUUGACGGGUAGCCGGCCUGAGAGGGUGACCGGCCACAUUGGGACUGAGGUACGGGCCAGACUCCUACGGGAGGCAGCAGUGGGGAAUAUUGCACAAUGGGCGGAAGCCUGAUGCAGCAACGCCGCGUGCGGGAUGACGGCCUUCGGGUUGUAAACCGCUUUCGCCUGUGACGAAGCGUGAGUGACGGUAAUGGGUAAAGAAGCACCGGCUAACUACGUG
rnacentral:rRNA from 1 species